GGCGAACGGGUGAGUAACACGUGGGCAACCUGCCCAAAAGAGGGGGAUAACACUUGGAAACAGGUGCUAAUACCGCAUAACCAUAGUUACCGCAUGGUAACUAUGUAAAAGGUGGCUAUGCUACCGCUUUUGGAUGGGCCCGCGGCGCAUUAACUAGUUGGUGAGGUAAAGGCUUACCAAGGCAAUGAUGCGUAGCCGAACUGAGAGGUUGAUCGGCCACAUUGGGACUGAGACACGGCCCAAACUCCUACGGGAGGCAGCAGUAGGGAAUCUUCCACAAUGGGCGAAAGCCUGAUGGAGCAACGCCGCGUGGGUGAAGAAGGUCUUCGGAUCGUAAAACCCUGUUGUUAGAAAAGAAAGUGCGUGAGAGUAACUGUUCACGUUUCGACGGUAUCUAACCAGAAAGCCACGGCUAACUACGUGCCAGCAGCCGCGGUAAUACGUAGGUGGCAAGCGUUAUCCGGAUUUAUUGGGCGUAAAGGGAACGCAGGCGGUCUUUUAAGUCUGAUGUGAAAGCCUUCGGCUUAACCGGAGUAGUGCAUUGGAAACUGGGAGACUUGAGUGCAGAAGAGGAGAGUGGAACUCCAUGUGUAGCGGUGAAAUGCGUAGAUAUAUGGAAGAACACCAGUGGCGAAAGCGGCUCUCUGGUCUGUAACUGACGCUGAUGUUCGAAAGCGUGGGUAGCAAACAGGAUUAGAUACCCUGGUAGUCCACGCCGUAAACGAUGAAUGCUAAGUGUUGGAGGGUUUCCGCCCUUCAGUGCUGCAGCUAACGCAAUAAGCAUUCCGCCUGGGGAGUACGACCGCAAGGUUGAAACUCAAAGGAAUUGACGGGGGCCCGCACAAGCGGUGGAGCAUGUGGUUUAAUUCGAAGCAACGCGAAGAACCCUACCAGGUCUUGACAUAUUUUGACAAUCCUAGAGAUAGGACUUUCCCUUCGGGGACAGAAUGACAGGUGGUGCAUGGUUGUCGUCAGCUCGUGUCUUGAGAUGUUGGGUUAAGUCCCGCAACGAGCGCAACCCC
rnacentral:rRNA from 1 species